GACGAACGCUGGUGGCGUGCUUAACACAUGCAAGUCGAACGGGAUUUAGUAAACAGAAGCCUCGGUGGAAGAUUACUAAUGAGAGUGGCGAACGGGUGAGUAACGCGUGAGCAACCUGCCUAUGACAGGGGGAUAGCCUCGGGAAACCGGGAUUAAUACCGCAUAAAAUCGUAGAAACACAUGUUUUAACGGUCAAAGAUUUAUCGGACAUAGAUGGGCUCGCGUCUGAUUAGCUUGUUGGUGAGAUAACAGCCCACCAAGGCGACGAUCAGUAGCCGGUCUGAGAGGAUGAACGGCCACAUUGGAACUGAGACACGGUACAAACUCCUACGGGAGGCAGCAGUGGGGAAUAUUGCACAAUGGGGGAAACCCUGAUGCAGCGCCGCCGCGUGAACGAAGAAGGUAUUCGUAUCGUAAAGUUCUGUCCUAUGGGAAGAUAAUGACAGUACCAUAGAAGAAAGCUCCGGCUAAAUACGUG
rnacentral:rRNA from 1 species